UGAGUUCUUAGACUACAGAAAUUUCAUGUUGAAUAAUUUUUGAGCUUUUUAACUCUGAGCUAUUUUUAAGUAUUUCUAAUUAGUUAAUUUCUUAUAUGAUGGUACAGAUGCAGAAUUUGUGUCAGUUGCUAAAAAUCUUUAAAGAUAGUAACAAUUUUGACAGAGUUUAAGGGCAUGCUUGUUUUUAUGAUGAUGGACUUAAGUCAGUUCUGCUGAGUUUUUUUGGAGACUUAUCUUAUACUGAAUAACAAGCUUAUUUAAACUUAACUAUUAGAGCCAGUUCACGCUAACACAUUGUAACCAGUCAGAAGCGAGUUCAGGGGUGGUAUUUUCCAGAUGGCUGGAGACUGCGCGAGUUGACUUAACUUCAGCUUUUUUCCGCUUGGCACGUUAGUUUCUGAUGUCAUGUGAUUACAUAAACCAGUUACGUUUGUUUACUUACCCGCUGACUACUGUAGCUUUGGAAAUCAAUUCCCACUUUGUAUCAAGAAACAAUGAGUUUUUCUUCUAUAGUGACCGACGAGCUUCUGAUAAAUGAACUGCAGAAGUAUUCGUACAAGUACAAUUUAAAUGAUAAACGGCAUAAAAAUUCGCUGAUGAGAAGAAAUGCUUGGAUCAGCAUAGGUGAAAUGAUUUGAUCUAGAGGUGAGUGGCAUAAAAUUUUUCUGCGUUUUAAAUUGAUUAAAAUUAUCUUUAUUUUAGCUACUUAUGCUAAUUCUUGAAAUAUAACUGAUUAAGUCUGACUACAAUUAACUUUUAAAUAAAUUCGUAAAGCAUUAUUUACUGAAUUUGUAAGUUAAAAAUAUCGUAACUUCCUCGCAUACUAUUGCUUAAGUGAACACUUUCUUUUAUUUCAUUUUUAGGUUCUAUUCUUUAAUCAAUUAAGAUAACAAAGUAUUAUGAUUUAUGAUUUUUCUAUAGAUUAAAGUUUCUGAUUUAUUUAUGAUUUGUACUUGUAGCUGACGGAUGCCAGCAGCAAUACAAAUCGCUCUGAGAUCGCUUCUGAAAAGAAAAACAGUUACUGAAACAGACGAGUGGUAGUGCUGUGAAAAGAAAGAGAGAAUAGUCAAUGUAUCAACUAAUGACAUUUCUGGAUUCCUUAAUUGAUAAAAAAUUCUUCUGGGGGGGGAAUGAUCUAGUAGACAAAGCCAUUGCUUCUGUGUUUGAAACACAGGAGCACACCAACAUUGACCACCUUAUGCUCUUCAUUUCAAAAAGAGUGAAGUCUUUCCCUCCAGAACAGCAAAGAAAAGCAUCUUGAGGACUUGCCAAUUUUAUGUUUGAUUUGAUGGAUGACAAUGAAUAAACCCUAAAUAUGUCCUUUAUUAUUGUGUUAUUAAAAGUGUAUCGAUAAGUUUAAUUUGUCUAACAAGAAAUUAAAUAUUUCAUUCAAGGCUUGUAUACUACUUACAUGUCCUGAGCAAAACUAAUUCCUUAAAUUUCUUAUGAGCAUGUAAUCUUAAAUUCAGUUAAUACGAAGUUUAUUUGAGGGGAAAAAAUAAGAUUACUUCUGUAUAUUCACAUUAUAUUAAGUAUAUAAAUCUUAUCACCUAUGAUUGUAAAAACAAUGGAUACUUUUUAAAUAAAUAAUACUAAUAAUUCACACAUGCA